UAGGGAAUCUUCGGCAAUGGACGAAAGUCUGACCGAGCAACGCCGCGUGAGUGAAGAAGGUUUUCGGAUCGUAAAACUCUGUUGUUAGAGAAGAACAAGGACGUUAGUAACUGAACGUCCCCUGACGGUAUCUAACCAGAAAGCCACGGCUAACUACGUGCCAGCAGCCGCGGUAAUACGUAGGUGGCAAGCGUUGUCCGGAUUUAUUGGGCGUAAAGCGAGCGCAGGCGGUUUCUUAAGUCUGAUGUGAAAGCCCCCGGCUCAACCGGGGAGGGUCAUUGGAAACUGGGAGACUUGAGUGCAGAAGAGGAGAGUGGAAUUCCAUGUGUAGCGGUGAAAUGCGUAGAUAUAUGGAGGAACACCAGUGGCGAAGGCGGCUCUCUGGUCUGUAUCUGACGCUGAGGCUCGAAAGCGUGGGGAGCAAA
rnacentral:rRNA from 1 species